rnacentral:misc_RNA from 1 species
UUUUUUUUUUUUUUUUUUCCUCAGUUUUUCUUCCUUCAUAUCCAACAAAUGACAUCAGAGCUUUAUUGAUCUUAAGGGACCAAAUCAAAGUUUUUCUUUUGUUGAAGAAACCUGGCUGAAAAUGCUUCACUUCCACCACCACCAGUGUUCAAAAGGGAGAACUACAAUUUUUGGUCUGUCAAAAUGAAAGCUUUUCUCAUGGCACAUGAUCUGUGGGAGACAGUUGAGAAGGGUUAUGAACCAUCACUUCAAGACAAUCCUACCAUUGCUGAGAUGAAGAAAUAAAAGGAAGAUUCAACAAAGAAUUUCAAAGCGCUCUCAUUUCUCCAUUCAGCAGCAGAUGAUUCAAUAUUUCUAAGAAUUAUGGGGGCAACAACAGCAAAAUCAGCCUGGAAUGCUCUUCAGGAGGAGUUUCAAGGUUUAGAAAAGGUAAGAGCUGGUAAGUUGUUAAAUUUGAGAAGGGAAUUUCAAUCAUUAAUGAUGAAUGAAGAAGAGACUAUUAAAGAUUAUGUUUCAAAGUUUGUUAAAGUUGUUAAUGAAAUGAAAAUUUAUGGAGAGAUUUUUUCAGAUCAAUUGAUUGUCGAUAAAGCAUUAGUAAGUAC